GGCAGACGGGUGCGUAACAUGUGGGAAUCUGCCUUUUGGUUCGGAACAACACGGGGAAACUUGUGCUAAUACCGGAUAAGUCCUAACGGAGAAAGAUUUAUCGCCGAAAGAUGAGCCCGCACUAGAUUAGCUUGUUGGUAAGGUAAAAGCUUACCAAGGCUACGAUCUAUAGCUGAUUUGAGAGGAUGAUCAGCCACACUGGGACUGAGACACGGCCCAGACUCCUACGGGAGGCAGCAGUGGGGAAUCUUGCACAAUGGAGGAAACUCUGAUGCAGCGAUGCCGCGUGAGUGAAGAAGGCCCUUGGGUUGUAAAGCUCUUUUGUCGGGAAAGAUAAUGACUGUACCCGAAGAAUAAGGUCCGGCUAACUUCGUGCCAGCAGCCGCGGUAAUACGAAGGGACCUAGCGUAAUUCGGAAUUACUGGGCGUAAAGCGCGCGUAGGCGGUUAAGUAAGUUAAUUGUGAAAGCCCAAAGCUCAACUUUGGAAUUGCAAUUAAAACUACUUAGCUAGAGUUUAUCAGAGGAAAGCGGAAUACAUAGUGUAGAGGUGAAAUUCGUAGAUAUUAUGUAGAACACCAGUUGCGAAGGCGGCUUUCUGGGAUAACACUGACGCUGAGGUGCGAAAGUAUGGGUAGCGAAGAGGAUUAGAUACCCUCGUAGUCCAUACCGU
rnacentral:rRNA from 1 species